CCUCUUUAAGCCGCGUUGGCAAGGCGCUAUAUUGGGGAUGCCGGUUCGCCGGCUAUGGCGAUAAACGCAGUCCGGAAUAGGCGUUGCGGACCCGGGGGCAGAGCCCGGCGCCUCCACCAUCUUCUCCAUUCCCGCGGGAUCGGAGCGUAUGGGGGCGAAUCAGGAUCGACGUGCGUAGUAAAGGGAUAUGCUUUCGCCCGGCAUGGUAUCCGCCGUUAUCGGGCCGAACACGACAAGUGCCAACGACAAUCGUCAGGCAUUCGCUGUCGCUGCCUAAUCGGCAAUGACAAGCGCGGCGGACGGGAGCCGGGCAACAGAAUCCCGUCGAAA
rnacentral:tmRNA from 1 species